CUACUUCAAAUAACAUCUUUAACUAUGCUUCAAGAGUUCAAGAAGGAAAAUUCAGAAACUUCAUGAAACAAGGAGAAAUAUCCAGGUGCUGGAAAUUCUGACUCGCUGGGACUAGACAUUUUGUCAAAACAGACAUUGAAAAACUGGUGGCAAACGUUUUCCUAAAAAGGGAAUGUGCAGACUGAAGGUUUUGACAACAGUAUCAAUGAUGAUUAAACGAUUUCAGCAACCUGGGGAUUAUCGUGCAAUGGAUGGUACCAUGAUAGUUAACACCAAAAAGAGGGGUCUUGACACUACUAAACAAACAUCAGCAUAUACUCAUACAGCAUAGAUGGAUCUUGU